rnacentral:tRNA from 1 species
UCCCUGGUAGCUUAGACAGUAAAGCGUCUGCCUACAAUGCGGGAGACCUAGGUUCAGUCCCUGGGUUGGGAA